AGUGAACGCUGGCGGUAGGCCUAACACAUGCAAGUCGAACGGCAGCACAGGAGAGCUUGCUCUCUGGGUGGCGAGUGGCGGACGGGUGAGGAAUACAUCGGAAUCUACUCUGUCGUGGGGGAUAACGUAGGGAAACUUACGCUAAUACCGCAUACGACCUACGGGUGAAAGCAGGGGACCUUCGGGCCUUGCGCGAUUGAAUGAGCCGAUGUCGGAUUAGCUAGUUGGCGGGGUAAAGGCCCACCAAGGCGACGAUCCGUAGCUGGUCUGAGAGGAUGAUCAGCCACACUGGAACUGAGACACGGUCCAGACUCCUACGGGAGGCAGCAGUGGGGAAUAUUGGACAAUGGGCGCAAGCCUGAUCCAGCCAUACCGCGUGGGUGAAGAAGGCCUUCGGGUUGUAAAGCCCUUUUGUUGGAAAAGAAAUCCAGCUGGCUAAUACCCGGUUGGGAUGACGGUACCCAAAGAAUAAGCACCGGCUAACUUCGUGCCAGCAGCCGCAGUAA
rnacentral:rRNA from 1 species